rnacentral:rRNA from 1 species
UACGUAGGGUGCAAGCGUUGUCCGGAAUUAUUGGGCGUAAAGGGCUCGUAGGCGGUCCAUCGCGUCGGGAGUGAAAAGCUGGGGCUCAACCCCAGUCCUGCUUCCGAUACGGGUGGACUAGAGGUAGGCAGGGGAGAACGGAAUUCCUGGUGUAGCGGUGAAAUGCGCAGAUAUCAGGAGGAACACCGGUGGCGAAGGCGGGUCUCUGGGCCGAUAUUGACGCUGAGGAGCGAAAGCGUGGGGAGCGAACAGG